AAAUCGAAAGCAAACUUGAGCUGCUAGAUUCCAGAAUUUCGACGUGAUUUUUUUCCCUAGAAAGAAUAAAUCAUAUUUUGGUAAUAAAUGACGGUAUUUCACGACGAAGUGGAAAUAGAAGACUUUGAAUAUGACGAAGAAACGGAAAUAUAUCACUAUCCUUGUCCGUGUGGUGACAGAUUUGAGAUAACGAAGGAAGCUCUUAGUGAUGGGGAAGAAGUUGCAACAUGUCCAAGCUGUUCGUUGAUUCUAAAGGUCAUUUAUGACUUGGAGGACUUCAUGGAGGGAGAAGAAGUAGCUGCACCAUCAAAGACAGGACUUGAAAAGGUUUGACCCAGAAAUGUGUCUUCUACAAAAACAUCAUGGAUCGAGAUGACCACUAUCUGUGAUGGUACAUGUCACUUAGCUAACCGAAAGGUCUGACUAGGAAAGUAUGAGAGAGUAUCAAGUGUCUGUGUGGGUGUGUCUACUGAUAUUGAGCUAAACUGAAGCCUCAUUCAGACAUACACCCUAUGCUGCUGUAAAUCAUCUUGAAAAGUUUCUGUGGCAUUUAGAAUCAAAUGAUAUCUGCUCUAGAUGUGUGUCACAUAUAUGUACAUAUCAUACCAUAUACAUGUAGAUCACAGUGUAUGCAUAGGGUCCUAGGUUGCACCAGCUAUUUUUUGUUUGUAUCCUGAUUUGCAUACAUUUAAUAAUAGUCUGAUACAAAAUCUUUUUUAUCAUUUAUUUCAGCAGGUAUGAAGAGGAUUUUAAAGUUGCAAUUUAGAGGCCACUUUAUUUUACAGAUCAGCAUAUAAAGGACAUGUGUAUUUGAGAUUAUUCUCAUUUGAACCUAUUUUUUAAUAUACAAAUGCAAUAAUGUUCAAACUUCAAAGUGUUAUAGGAGGAAUUAGCACAUAAUUCACAAGUUUAGAAUUGUCUAAAACUGUAUAUUUCAUGCUUCCACUUUGUGUUUAAUUCUGCAUUUUACAAAGUUGCUUGCUCUGACUCACUUUCAACAAGACGAGAAGAGAGUCCCAUAAACAAAUGCCAGCUACCAAAAACAAAAUGCUGAUAAAUCUGUACAUGUCUGUGUGACAUGUUGGAGAGAAGUGGAGUGGAUAAUGCCACUCAUGUUUCUGACCAUUCCAAAACUUUUUGGUUUAAUUCACGAAUUAACUUUAUUAUAAUUCCACUCAAAUCACCUGUUAAUCUGAUAACUUGAUGCGAUACUGUUAAUAUGAUAACUUGUUCAACAACUUUUUAAUAGACUUCAGGCAGGGUAUAGUUUUGCAUCUCAUAAAACCAAAUUAAUAAACAAAAAUGUUUAUGAGUAAAGUAAAGAGAUAGAGCAAAUGUUUAAUUGUGUUGGCCCAAUGAUGAAAUUUAGCAUUUUAUACCUGAAAUUUGUAUUGAAAAGUCAUCAUUUUUUUUAAUUGAAAAAAUGGAUAUUGUAAUUUAUUCAUGCUUAGUUGCUUUUUAAGUGGAUUUGUUGGGAGUUCUUUUAGAAAGUCAAAACAGAGCAUUCAUAUAAGAGAUUGUACUGUUUCAUUCCCAAGUGCCUCACUUGUAUAUUAUUUAACAAUUUUCUUGAGUGUCAUUUUUGUAAUGCAGAUGUGUGUGUGUAGAAUGCAUAUUUGUUGAAUGUAGAAAAUCUGAAAAACUUUGAAAUUGAAUACUGAUGAUUGUUAAGUUUGAAUGUGACGAAAUGACAAGUAAAUAUAUUGCUUGUAGAGUAAUAUAUUACAUUGACAAGACAGACUUCAUAAUUAGGUACAGUCUAGUCAGGGAGGCAAGACAGAAUGACAGAGCACACUCUAUAUAGUCAUUAUAGUAAAUAGAUAUUUAACUUUUAUACCACAGUGCUAUAAAAACAAAGUUUCCUGCUUUAUGAUCUUUACUUGUGUGAGAUAUUUAUUAUUGCAAGGGAAUACAUUGUUACACAAUGUGCAAUUUGAAGUUGUUUAUACAUGUACCUGUAUACUGUCAAGUUAUUAAUGUAUGUUAAGCAUUAUCAUUAUCUCCCUCCCUCCCUCCCUCACAGUUUUGAAUCAAUAGGAGUUAAACAAAAAAUAAUCAAGACAGGAAGAAGAGUGAUGGGCUAUAUUUAAAUGUUAUUUGACAUUGUAAGGUGUCUUCUUUCAAGACACAUAGAGGUGAAGCAGUGAAAAGUCUUGAGCAAUCUUUGUACGAAGAAAAAGAGAUAUUACCAUCAUGGUUGGAAAGUAAUUUUUGCUUUUCUCAAAUAUGUUCAUGAAAUGCUUCUAUUUAAAUGAUACAUGUAGGUUGUGCUUCUAGUAUUAGACUAGCAUCCUGUUCAAAAUUUUCCUUGCAUGUUCUCUUUUUACACUUUUACGACAACACCAACAAAAAUAUUGAGCAUUGUGAGCUCUUUACUUUGAAAUAUCAAUUUCCGUUUACUAGUAUUCUACAUCGACACUUAAUAUGUUCAAAUCUUUUUGUAUUUUAUUUCCUUUGGCAAUUUAUUAUAAUUAUAUUUUUAUCCUUAUUCUUGUCUUCCUCCUUCUAUGCUGUCAAUUGCACAAAUGUUAACAGGCGUAUUUUAUGAAUUGUAUAAAGAAUGUAUAUAGACGAUUGCCUUUUAAAAUGGUAUUAAUUUUAUACUUAGUCGCAGAAAUUAUUACCAGUACUACCGGUACGUUCAAUAUGUAUUGAUUUUGAACUUCUUUUGAAGGUGUUUGAUUUCUUUGUGAAGUGUCCAUUUUGUUAUCAUAAAAAGUAGAGCAUUUCUAUUCUCCUUUAUUUUUUUUAAACCUUUGAUCAUGUGACUGCGAAAAAAUAUCAUUAAGGAUUCCUUCCUAAUGACCAUUAAAAAAGGUAGGCCUACAUUGCAUACUUUACAUCAGUGUGUAGUUCAAUUGACUACUCUUUGAAACUAAUGAUGGUAAAGUUUCCUUUCUGCACAUGUAGUUUUCUUUUCUAUAGUUAGUAAAGCCAUAAUUGAGACAAGGAAAAUGUUAUGUAAAAUUUAUAAUAAUUACGUCUGAAUCAGUGUCAAUAAAAUCAUAUUCCAUGACAUUCAUGAAUGUA
rnacentral:lncRNA from 1 species